rnacentral:misc_RNA from 1 species
UCUUCUAAUUCUUAAAUUCCUAACGUGGUAUAAGAGCUCUUGAUUCAUUGGGGCUUAGGUAUGUUCAUGGGUAGUGUUCACGACACUAUUCAUAGGAACAUUUUUGAGGAGAUUUUGGUAUGUGCUGUCAUUUUUCUGGUGGAGAUUUUGGGUUAUUUUUGUAUUGAUUUCAGUUCUUAUGUAAAUGAACUUUUAGUUUCUGUUUUGUUACUAUGUCCCUUUUGAGCCAUUCCUAGCUACUGCCCCAUUUUGAAAUUUCCUUAAAGGUUUAUUCAAGUUUGGACAGCCAUUAUAUUGCAAUCAUGUGAGCUGUUUGAGUAAAGAUUCACCUGCUGUUUUGUCUUUUUCUGCGGCGGUGUCACCUUUGGAUAGAGAAGUGCAACCUUGUGAGUUACAUUGUGUAAAUAUUUCCUUGCCAGCGUUACCUAUGGAGCGGAAAUGCAAUCCUGGGAGUUGCUUUGUGUUUUGGUGCCUUUGUGUAGGUGUUUUUGUAUUUAGUUAUGUUGUGAGGGGGUUACAGGCUUCAAUAAGAAUCUCAUCAAGAGGGAAUGUUAGAAUUGAUGAGAUUCCAUGCUCCAUUUUAAGGGGGAGUAUUAUGCAAAGUCAAUAUUUAUGUUUAGUUAUAUUUCUAAUUAGUAUAUUCGACCCAGUCUUUCAGCUAGGUCAAGCAGACCGAAUUUAAUAACUAUGCCUCCAGCUUCUGUCUUUCUUCUGAACCAAAAACACCAGGCUUGAACAUGGACUAGAACUGUUCUGAAUAAUUCCAGCAGCAAUCAUUUCAACUGCCAGUUGUUCAAUCUCGUUCUUUUGCCAAUGACUCUAUCGAUGUGGCUUAAUCUUCACAGAUGAAGUACCAGGAAGCAAAGGACUAACAUGAUCAGUUGAAUGAGAUGGAGGCAAUGAAGAAGGCUGAUUAAAAAUAACUGAAUAUGAAUUGCAUAACUAAUGAAGAUCCUCUUAUUGUUUUGAAGAUAAUUCAGUAGGUGGAAUAAAUGACUGUGAGUUUCCCUAAGGAAGACAGACACGAGAGCACGAGUUAAAGAAGGAUCACCGCACGAUAUAACAAAGUUACGUGGAGGAUGUUGAAUAAUCCUUGUCAUGCUUGCCUAAUUGACCCUGACAUCGCCAAAGGUUUCUAGCCAAGCCUAUUACAUCCACUUCGCCCAGAGGAAAUACGUAGCAAUCAACUUUGAUUUGCAAUUUGUUAAGUCCAGAGAUAAUUUGUAACGCAUCCCUGAGGAUUGAGAUCGAUGUCCAUCUCCUAAUCUGACCCCAAAUGACGGUACUGCCUCCACUGGAAUCCGCAGCUUAUAAGCCACACUGUUAACAAGAAAAUUCUGGCUCGUCCCAUUGUCCACCAUCACUAUUACAAUAGCAUCUUUCAAUUGCCCUCUCAGCUUCAUGGUCCUACGUAUGGAAAUACCUCCCAUGGAAUAAAAUGGCAACUCCAACUGCAUAAAGUGAGUUUCAUUAGUAAUAGAUAAGGGAGAUUGAUUGGUGUCCUGCCCCAGAACUUCCAAAUUCCCAUCUGGUGGUCUUUCCUCAUCAUCUCCAACAAUUAUAGCUUUUAAGGUUUUAUUCGGGCAUUCAUGUAAGGGGUAGUAAGGUUGCUUACACUUGUAGCAUAAACUUUUGGCUUUGAGGUCCAAAAAUUCCUGGUGUUAGUAGUGCUGUGUUCCCUUGUUUCAAACUGUAGCUGGAUGUUGUUGCUGAGUAGGAAUAGCAGGUGUGGAUGAAGGCAAGUGUUGCUUCUAAUCGCCGAGGCCCAUUAGUGAAAAAUGGCGGCCUGUUAGUUUGACUAAAGCUUUUGCCCAACUUGGUCCAGACCGAGACCUAGGCCCAUAACUAAAGGCCCAUAUGCUAUCACUAAAUCAGUCAUCGUCUUCCUCAUGCCCUUCGACAUCUGCAAAAACUAGUUUUCCCUUUCAAACUCUCUUCCAAGUGUUAUGGUGCAGAAUAUUUCCACAGGAUCUUGUGCUCAAAUCAUUACCCGUAUUUCAUCUCUCAAUCCAUUCAAGAAAUAUCCCAAAUAUUUUGGGUAAGAAAUUCCCGAGACUUCCGAAGCCUGAGCCACAAAAUGAUCAAUAUAAUCCUCCAUUGGAUCUUCCUGUUACCCCAUUGCUAACCUUUCAAUUGGUUUGGCAAGCAAGUCUCCUCCAUAUUAGUGCAACAGUUCAACUGUAAGUUGCUCCCACGUUAGGUGAGGAUUUCGCUGGCGUAUCCAUCAGUUUCAAGGCAAUGCAAUCCCCUCCAUGCAAAUCAUGGCCAGUGUUACCUUCAUCUCCUCAUGCGUCUAACGAAUCACAAAAUAUUGUUCAGCUUGAGCAAGCCAGCCUACUAGGUCUUCACCUUCAAAAUUUCCAACUUUGCAGAGGGAGGAGUUUCAUCAAAUAAUAUUAGCUCGAGUACCUGGUCUGGUAUUUGUGGUUUUUGCUAUAGGCAUGGUUUGCGUAGUCUGAUUAGAUCCUUCACCAUCUUCAAUCACUGCUUUGCUUCGGGUGAGAGGUCAGUAGGUUUUCUAAUUUCGUGAAAUACUGUUCCUGUUCAAUACAUUGCCACCUCAGCUUCCUCUAGAGUUGCCAUGUUCCUCUUUACUUGCUCUACCCUUCCAUUCUCAUUUUGGUCAUGAGGUGUUGAUCUAGCAGGUCAGACCAAUUUGAUAGAGAUAGGAAUAAGAACAAAGCAAUAUGAACAAGAACAGAGAAGAUAGAAAUUCAAAUAGCAAUUGUAUUGCAAUCAACAGUCAAUUACAAAUGAGUCUCUGAGCACUUGCUACUCAGCAAUACAAAAUAAAUAAAUGAGAAAAGAAAAAUAAACCAGGAGAGCUCUCCUGAGCAAGCACUGCACUUGUCCUAAGCAAUUCUGCUGAAUGGAUAGCCCUUUCCCCGAAGUUACGCUCCUACUACAGCUGCCUCCUUUUUCAUUAACAUCUGUUGUUCCUCUCCUUUCUGUUAAUUGAGACCGGAUGGCAGUGUUCCUGAGAAUUGCUCUAACAGAAUUUGAUUCUCCAUCUGCAUAUUGCUAGAUUCUUCCAUGGCUCUUUUCUUCUUCCUGUAGUAUACCCUUAGCUGACUUGGGCCUUUAUCUACUUGAGCUGGGCCAGGAUUUGGAUCCAUAUCAUCUGGGGAUCUAAAUUUUUUUAAUCAUUUGCAAUUUCCUGACAAGAAUUAUCAGUAAUUGUUAAAUCUAAAACCCAUUGAACCAUUUCCUUGUUUAAAUUUUUAUCUUAUAUUUACAAAAAUGAUUUGAUUUUGCUGUCUUUGCUUUCAGCUAUGUUGAUUUUUUUUUCUCCCAGCAUAAGUAGGAUGUAUUUAAUUUUAUGUUUAUAGCUUAUUUAUUAAUAAAUGUUAGUUCUUCUAUGUGUUGACAUAAUUGGGUAUAGGACAGCCAUGCUGAGAAAUAAUACAAGUAAAAGCAGGUCAUUAGAAGUGGACUAUAUAUAUUCUUAAAAUUUUAUUUUAGUGUUGCAAGAAAAAUAUUCUUCAUGGCAAUGAGGCCACUGUUUUUGUUGCUACAUUCAUUUGUCUUCAGAAGUUAUUUAUUUAUUUUCUUUCUUAACAUUUUCAUAUGGUUUGUUUUCGGACCUUUAGAUAUUUGAAUGAUUUGUCUGUGCUAAGUCUUCCUGUAUUUGUAGAGGAUUGAAAGCUCAAUAGUUUUUUUUUUUGCAAAUUGGUUCUUGAAUGUUUGGUUGGUGAAUGACACAAAUUCGCUUGAUUCAUUCUAUUUGUGUCUGUCUAGUCUCAUAGUUUUUGCCUUACUAAAUGAUAGUAUAUGUGGCCUAUUAAGUGUACGAUUAACAUUCUUGUCCUAUUUACUGCUUCAUUUGGAAAUUGACAUUUGAAAAAAAGUCAUAGCAUUAGUAACUGGACUGACACUACCACUUUGAAGGCAAUCCUUGGGUGGGCACCUGAUACGUUUUCACUUUUCAUGUUACUAUGCCAAAUUAAUAAGCUUAAGUUGAUUAAUGAUUGAGGAUUUUUGCUGGUAUAUAAAUGGUUUAUUAUGUAUCCUAUUCCUUUAUUAAAUUGAUUUACUUCCUGCCUAGUGAUUGUCUUGCAUUUCAAUGCUUCAUCAUUGAACACAUAACUAGGUCACAUCUGCCGUGUUUUCAUAUGAUUGCAGAUGGAUAAAAGCUUAACCUGCUCUGCUACUUGCAUUGGUGGUUAAGUCGCAUAAUUGCCAUCUAGCAUGGGUUCAAUUAUUAGUAUGGGAGAACAGAAAGCAAGAGUGCUGGAGGAGUACUUUUGUUGGUUGUCUUUAGAGCUGUUCGAUUCUCAUUAUGUUUUUAUCUAUUUGCUGGAAAUAUAAUGACAUCUUAAUGGUGUGCAGUUCAGUUUCAAUAAAAAGAAUAAUAGUCAUAAUGGUCAUUUGUUUUGCAGGUGGUGAUCAAAUGAUACAAGCGUGGUUGAGAGUUCUUGAUGACAUAAACAUAAAUUAGUUGAUGUUUGCUGUAUUUUGCAGAGUGUUGGCUAAAUCCAUGCUAUGGAUAUAGCUGUGGAUGAUACAGGUGCUACGAUUGCAGAGGAUUGUGUUUGUUUUGCAAGGUUAGCUACUUGAUGUGACAAGUGAUGUAGAUUUCCCGUAAAUUAACACUUAUGAGUCAAUUUCAUGAAAUGUAAUUACUAGAAUAUUUCACGCUAAGUAGAGAUAACAAUGUCAUAUUUUCUUGGUUUGCUGAAAGUGUUAGGAUAAUGGUGUUGAAUGGGAAUCCCACUUGGGUAAGG